UACGUAGGGUGCAAGCGUUAUCCGGAUUUACUGGGUGUAAAGGGCGAGUAGACGGCGUUGCAAGUCAGAUGUGAAAACCUAGGGCUCAACCGUAGGACUGCAUCUGAAACUGUAAUGCUAGAGUGCAGGAGAGGUAAGCGGAAUUCCUAGUGUAGCGGUGAAAUGCGUAGAUAUUAGGAGGAACACCAGUGGCGAAGGCGGCUUACUGGACUGUAACUGACGUUGAGGAGCGAAAGUGUGGGGAGCAA
rnacentral:rRNA from 1 species